CCCCUAACGGCAAGUCUCUUGUCCAUCUAAUAUCUCUUCCGGAUCUCUCUGCAAUACUGUGUCUCCCUUUCUCUCCAUGACACAACGACAACGAUCUCCGCCACCACUGCUACCUCAGACCUACCCCGGCCCCGACCGAUGAAAAGCUUGGCUCCAUUGAACUCAAUUCUAUCUUCCAAUCUUUGGUGUCUUGCUAUUUCAUUUGAGCCCGUGCCACUCAUUUUCGUAUGAGAGAAAGAGAAGCGAAGAUCGUUUGAGCCCGUGCCACUCAUCUUCCAAUCUUUGGUGUCUUGCUAUUUCAUUUGAGCCUGUGCCACUCUGUCGCCCCAACCAUCACCACCUUCGUCGUCUCACCCGCUCUCAAUCAUCAUCAGGUACUACUCUCACUCAUCUCCUCAUUGUAUCCGUCCAUUGACGUCGAGCAAAACUGCAUCAGCGUCUACAACAACGUCGUUGGAGUUCCUGUUGAGAUUCACCAGAAGGAGAAGGUCUACAUCCCAGAGUUGAACUUCGGACAUCUUCUGACUAGUAGCAAUUACUAUCAUACGGUGAAGAAGACCACCGGUGGACACAACGACUACAGCCCCAAGCUUACGAACAUCUUGUCCACCGAGUUCGUCAUCGAGACGACGGACGUAUAAGCAGGUGAAAGUGGAAGAUGCAUCUCUUCUUGCAUUAUAACACGAAGGUUGUCGAGCAUUGCUAGCAGAACCUAAAGUCGACAUGUUACGAUAGAUGGGCUCUUGCGUUUUGGCGAGGGGAAUGCAGGAAUAUGCUUGAACAUUGAAGAUUUCUUGUAGAUAUGGCUUUGGGCUCGCCUGCUUUCCUCUUGUGUUUUGGCGAGGGAAAUGCAGGAAUAUGCUUGAACAUUGAAGAUUUCUUGUAGAUAUGGCUUUGGGCUCGCCUGUUUUCCUCUUGUUAUGUGAGAUGCAAUAUUUGGCAUUCUUAUAAGAUGAUCUAAUACGAUCGAAUGAUUUCGAGCUUACUCGGUCAAAUGUUUGUUACACAUCGCUUGCUUGUUUGCUUAACUGAACAACCAUUUAUACAUUGAAGUGUUUACUUGUAGUUCA